rnacentral:rRNA from 1 species
UACGUAGGGGGCUAGCGUUGUCCGGAAUCAUUGGGCGUAAAGCGCGUGUAGGCGGUUCGGUAAGUCCGCUGUGAAAGUCGGGGGCUCAACCCUCGAAAGCCGGUGGAUACUGUCGGGCUAGAGUGCGGAAGAGGCGAGUGGAAUUCCCAGUGUAGCGGUGAAAUGCGUAGAUAUUGGGAGGAACACCAGUGGCGAAGGCGGCUACCUGGACCGGUUCUGACGCUGAGGCGCGAAAGCGUGGGUAGCAAACAGG